AACACGUGGGUAACCUGCCUGUAAGACUGGGAUAACUCCGGGAAACCGGGGCUAAUACCGGAUGGUUGUUUGAACCGCAUGGUUCAAACAUAAAAGGUGGCUUCGGCUACCACUUACAGAUGGACCCGCGGCGCAUUAGCUAGUUGGUGAGGUAACGGCUCACCAAGGCAACGAUGCGUAGCCGACCUGAGAGGGUGAUCGGCCACACUGGGACUGAGACACGGCCCAGACUCCUACGGGAGGCAGCAGUAGGGAAUCUUCCGCAAUGGACGAAAGUCUGACGGAGCAACGCCGCGUGAGUGAUGAAGGUUUUCGGAUCGUAAAGCUCUGUUGUUAGGGAAGAACAAGUACCGUUCGAAUAGGGCGGUACCUUGACGGUACCUAACCAGAAAGCCACGGCUAACUACGUGCCAGCAGCCGCGGUAAUACGUAGGUGGCAAGCGUUGUCCGGAAUUAUUGGGCGUAAAGGGCUCGCAGGCGGUUUCUUAAGUCUGAUGUGAAAGCCCCCGGCUCAACCGGGGAGGGUCAUUGGAAACUGGGGAACUUGAGUGCAGAAGAGGAGAGUGGAAUUCCACGUGUAGCGGUGAAAUGCGUAGAGAUGUGGAGGAACACCAGUGGCGAAGGCGACUCUCUGGUCUGUAACUGACGCUGAGGAGCGAAAUCGUGGGGAGCGAACACGAUUAGAUACCCUGGUAGUCCACACCGUAAACGAUGAGUGCUAA
rnacentral:rRNA from 1 species